rnacentral:lncRNA from 1 species
GUUCUCUGCAAUGUGGCAUCAAUAUCAGAGUGUAUAAAUAUCCAAAAUGACAACUACAGAACAAAUGGCACAGUGUAUUUGGGAAUGCGUUUUCUUCAGCAGGCCCCCCAUGAGCCGCCGAAACCAAGCAACGCAGACAACCAGAAGCCAACCAAAAAAAGAAAAGAAUGGUUCUUCAUCUGGCGGCAUUCUAGGGUACAUUUCGUUUAAGUAUUCAGGUAAGUAAUAUAAGCUUUGUGCUUCGGAUGAGCUUCAUCUAGUCGUCUCAGGUGUCUUCGGGUGUCUGGUGCUUGGGUUCGUCGGUGCGUCAAGGUCGCUGCGGAUCAGUUAAUCUGCAGCUCCUGGCUCUGCUCACCAGGCCCGACUGACCAGGUCCUGCGAGGUCAUGCUGAGGGUCAGUACCUGCUAGGGGACAGACUCCCAACACCCCCCACUAGGACAUGGCCAGGGACCCAGUGACCUGCCCUUGGGAGCAGGCUUUUCAUCUCCUUUCCUCCUCCUCCUCUCCUCCUCUUCACUUAAAUACACAGCAAGCAAACAGAGUGGGAACUCAAUAGUGACCGGACAGAGGGAAACUCACCCAAAUCCUUAAGCGGAGGGCUCCGCAGGAUAGAAAGGACAGAUCAAACAUUGUAACCUCCUUUUAUACCUUGAACCCCCCCCCGCUCUGUCAUUGCAAUUCUGACAGCCAAAGGAAAGCAGCUAACACCCUCAGCCUGCAUUGUGUGUGUGGGCGUGAUCGGGCUGAGCACAGUCGCUCUUUGCCACACGUUUCUUCUUAACCUUCAGUUUUGUUUCCAGCAAAGUCUGUCUAAGUUUCGUUUCUCUGCUGCCUCUCCACUUCCCAGAUAAUGUUUAUUUGCUUUCUAGGCUUCUACCCAGCUAGCACAUUUGGUUCGUUGGAAGUUGUGGGAAAGUUUUGGAUUUCCCAUUGGUUCUGGGAACGUAGCCAUAAAUUACGUUCUGAGAACGGAAGUGAAGAUUUUGCCUGUUCUGGGAACAUUUAUUUUUAGGUUGCAGGGAGUCUUGUGAGGCUUG